AUACGGAGGGUGCAAGCGUUACUCGGAAUCACUGGGCGUAAAGCGCGCGCAGGCGGUCUUUUAAGUUGGAUGUGAAAGCCUACAGCUCAACUGUAGAACUGCAUCCAAAACUAUUAGACUAGAGUCUGGGAGGGGAAGAUGGAAUUAGUUGUGUAGGGGUAAAAUCCGUAGAGAUAACUAGGAAUACCAAAAGCGAAGGCGAUCUUCUGGAACAGUACUGACGCUGAGGCGCGAAAGCGUGGGGAGCAAACAGGAUUAGAUACCCCAGUAGUCC
rnacentral:rRNA from 1 species